rnacentral:rRNA from 1 species
CGCUAAUACCGCAUACGAUCUACGGAGUGAAAGCGGGGGACUCGCAAGAGCCUCGCGCGAUUGGAGCGGCCGAUAUCAGAUUAGGUAGUUGGUGGGGUAAAGGCUCACCAAGCCAACGAUCUGUAGCUGGUCUGAGAGGACGACCAGCCACACUGGGACUGAGACACGGCCCAGACUCCUACGGGAGGCAGCAGUGGGGAAUUUUGGACAAUGGGCGCAAGCCUGAUCCAGCAAUGCCGCGUGCAGGAUGAAGGCCUUCGGGUUGUAAACUGCUUUUGUACGGAACGAAACGGUGAGCUCUAAUACAGUUUGCUAAUGGCGGUACCGUAAGAAUAAGCACCGGCUAACUACGUG